rnacentral:rRNA from 1 species
GUGCCAUCCAGCCGCGGUAAUACCAGCUCCUGGAGUGUCUAUGAUGAUUGCUGCAGUUAAAGUGUUCGUAGUCGGGCUGCAUGACUGGCGUGAAAGACCUUCUUUCAAGGGGGGUACAGCGCGGGGAAAGCAGAGGAUAAGGAGCGUUUUGGGGCCAGGUUAUUAAGCGACGAGAGGUGAAAUUUGAUGACUCGCUUAGGAGCAACAGAGGCGAAAGCGCUGGCCAGGGGCGAAUCCGAUGAUAAAGGACGUAGGCUAGAGGAUCGAAGACGAUUAGAGACCGUUGUAGUUCUAGCAGUAAACGAUGCCGAUGCCGUGGUGCGAUUUGAGUUCGCGACGCGGAAGAGAAAUUCAGUAGGGCCCUGGGGAGAGUACACGCGCAAGCGAGAAAUUUAAAGGAAAUUGACGGAAGAACACCACAAGGAGUGGAGUGUGCGGCUUAAUUCAACUCAACGUGGGACAGCUUACCAGGCCCGACGACCGCACGAGUGUUGUACACGAUAGGUUGGAGAGUGGUGCAUGGCCGUUAACGACAAGUGGGGUGACCUUUGGGUUAAGUCCGGGAWGUAGUGAGACCCCUGCUGUUACGGCAAGCCGUGACAGGACAGGUGCUUAAAGCACAGGAAGGAAGGGUCAAGAACAGGUCAGUGAUGCCCUCAGAUGGUCUGGGCUGCACGCGCACUACAGUGGUCACAGAAAGGAUUAUUGAGAGAUAAUGGUGAUCGAGAGGGAAUGAGCUUUGCAAGAGGCUCAGGAACGAGGAAUUGCUAGUAAUCGCGGGCUCAUUAAGACGCGAUGAAUACGUCCCUGUUCUUUGUACACACCGCCCGUCGUUAUCGAAGAUGGAGUCAGGCGCGAACAAGCGAGAGCGAGUAAGUGCAGGAUUCUAGAUGUGAUACAAGUCGUAACAAGGGUAGCUGUAGGAGAACCUGUAGCUGGAUCAGAG